CUUCAACAACAACAACGGGGUUAUUAUCCCUCUUCCUGUGAGGCUCUUAAUCCUGUCAUUUAUCUCAGGUGCUGGGCAGUGCAAGUCUUCCUUGCUGCAGCUUUGUGACAGAAUAACCGACCACAACAAGAUGACUGAACUGAGCAAUGUUAACUGGGCUGAAGAUUUUCAGCAGAAGGGCCGGUCUUUGGAGCAGUAUGCGGAGGAGUUUCUGAACGUCAUAAUCUGAUUUUAAAUGGUUCCAAGUUCCUAGUCGAUAUGGAGGAUGAUCACCCUCCUCCCAUCCAGAAGUAUGUGGACGCUCCACCUCAUCACAAGCCAGCUCCCUCCACAUACGGUUCCAAUGAGCCCGCUCCCUCUGUUCCUCCUGCACUUCCAUGAGUUCUCCUAAACUCAUCACUAGUCCUCAGCCCUGGAUCGCUGGCCACUCAAGAUCUCAAGCCCACCGGCUGGUCGGAAAUUGAGCUCCUGAGAGCCCUCCAGUGCACGUUCCUCCAUUGCCCAUUCUCCUUAGCUCCCACCACUAGAAUCACUCUGGGCA